AUUGAACGCUGGCGGCAGGCUUAACACAUGCAAGUCGAGCGGAGAUGAGGUGCUUGCACCUUAUCUUAGCGGCGGACGGGUGAGUAAUGCUUAGGAAUCUGCCUAUUAGUGGGGGACAACAUUCCGAAAGGAAUGCUAAUACCGCAUACGUCCUACGGGAGAAAGCAGGGGAUCUUCGGACCUUGCGCUAAUAGAUGAGCCUAAGUCGGAUUAGCUAGUUGGUGGGGUAAAGGCCUACCAAGGCGACGAUCUGUAGCGGGUCUGAGAGGAAGGUCCGCCACACUGGGACUGAGACACGGCCCAGACUCCUACGGGAGGCAGCAGUGGGGAAUAUUGGACAAUGGGGGAAACCCUGAGCCAGCCAUGCCGCGUGUGUGAAGAAGGCCUUAUGGUUGUAAAGCACUUUAAGCGAGGAGGAGGCUACUGAGACUAAUACUCUUGGAUAGUGGACGUUACUCGCAGAAUAAGCACCGGCUAACUCUGUGCCAGCCGCCGCGGUAAUAC
rnacentral:rRNA from 1 species